ACAGCAGUCGCCGCGGUAAUACGGAGGGGGCUAGCGUUGUUCGGAAUUACUGGGCGUAAAGCGCACGUAGGCGGCUUGGUAAGUUAGAGGUGAAAGCCUGGAGCUCAACUCCAGAAUUGCCUUUAAGACUGCCGAGCUAGCAGGUGAGAGAGGUAAGUGGAAUUCCGAGUGUAGAGGUGAAAUUCGUAGAUAUUCGGAAGAACACCAGUGGCGAAGGCGGCUUACUGGCUCAUACUGGACGCUGAGGUGCGAAAGCGUGGGGAGCAAACAGGAUUAGAGACCCCAGUAGUCCCUGUCUCUUAUAC
rnacentral:rRNA from 1 species